rnacentral:rRNA from 1 species
UUCGCAAUGCCCGAAAGGGUGACGAAGCGACGCCGCGUGGGUGAGGAAGGCCUUCGGGUUGUAAAGCCCUGUCAGGAGUUAAGAAAUGUAAGUGCGCUAAUAUCGCAUUUAUUUGGCGAAGGCUCCAAAGGAAGUCACGGCUAACUCUGUGCCAGCAGCCGCGGUAAUACAGAGGUGGCAAGCGUUGUUCGGAAUUAUUGGGCGUAAAGAGCACGUAGGUGGGUUUGUAAGUCAGAUGUGAAAGCCUUCUGUUCAACGGAAGAAUUGCAUCUGAAACUGCGAGUCUUGAGUGUAGGGGGGGAGAAUGGAACUUCUGGUGGAGCGGUGAAAUGCGUAGAUAUCAGAAGGAACGCCGGCGGCGAAAGCGAUUCUCUGGCCUAUUACUGACACUCAGUGUGCGAAAGCUAGGGGAGCAAACGGGAUUAGAUACCCCGGUAGUCCUAGCCGUAAACGAUGGGCACUAAGUAGAGGGGUUUU